rnacentral:rRNA from 1 species
GACGAACGCUGGCGGCGUGCCUCAAACAUGCAAGUCGAGCGGGGAACUUUUAAAAGCGCAAGCUUUUAAAAGUUCCUAGCGGCGAACGGGUGAGUAACACGUGGGCAACCUACCCAGAAGACCGGGAUAACGGCUCGAAAGGGCCGCUAAUACCGGAUAAUGUCGGGGUACCGCAUGGUACUCCGAAGAAAGGGGAAACCCGCUUUUGGAUGGGCCCGCGUCCCAUCAGCUAGUUGGUGAGGUAACGGCUCACCAAGGCGACGACGGGUAGCCGGUCUGAGAGGAUGGUCGGCCACACUGGGACUGAGACACGGCCCAGACUCCUACGGGAGGCAGCAGUUGGGAAUCUUGGGCAAUGGGCGAAAGCCUGACCCAGCGACGCCGCGUGAGGGAAGAAGGCCUUGGGUCGUAAACCUCUGUCAUGGGGGAAGAAGCAAGUGACGGUACCCAAGAGGAAGCCCCUGCUAACUACGUGCCAGCAGCCGCGGUAAUAUAGGCGUACU